GAUGAACGCUGGCGGCGUGCCUAAUACAUGCAAGUCGAGCGAACAGACGAGGAGCUUGCUCCUCUGACGUUAGCGGCGGACGGGUGAGUAACACGUGGAUAACCUACCUAUAAGACUGGGAUAACUUCGGGAAACCGGAGCUAAUACCGGAUAAUAUAUUGAACCGCAUGGUUCAAUAGUGAAAGACGGUUUUGCUGUCACUUAUAGAUGGAUCCGCGCCGCAUUAGCUAGUUGGUAAGGUAACGGCUUACCAAGGCAACGAUGCGUAGCCGACCUGAGAGGGUGAUCGGCCACACUGGAACGGGGACACGGUCCAGACUCCUGCGGGAGGCAGCAGUAGGGAAUCUUCCGCAAUGGGCGAAAGCCUGACGGAGCAACGCCGCGUGAGUGAUGAAGGUCUUCGGAUCGUAAAACUCUGUUAUUAGGGAAGAACAAAUGUGUAAGUAACUAUGCACGUCUUGACGGUACCUAAUCAGAAAGCCACGGCUAACUACGUG
rnacentral:rRNA from 1 species